rnacentral:rRNA from 1 species
AUGCCCUCCACUCACGCGGAAGAUUCUACCGCGCCCACCACCUCACUCUCGCUCGCCGCUGCGUCUUCUUCUUCUCGCAGGCUUUUCGCUUCUUCUUCGUCCGUCCGUGCAGACAGGUGUUCUAGAACGGCCGUUCCGGAGCCGGCCACUGAACAAAGGCUGAGGAGAGAAGGUUCGCGGUCGGAGGCCGCCAUGUCUCGCCUUGCGCGGCGGAAUCCUCCGACUCCGACGGAGCCGACGGCGAGGAAGGUGAGGAGGACCCCGUCCAGCCUGCUGCUGCGCAUCUCCGACAUCUGCAAGGUGCAUUCUGUCGGCGUCGCGCCGACCGUCGGUGAAAAGCUCAAGAACAACAGCACCGCCACCGCCACUGCCGAGAGCAGCGAAGACGGCGCGCACCUCAAAGUCCAUCCCCACCAGGCGUCGUCCUCCGACAACAACGACGAGUGCCUCUCCCAGAGCUCCUCCGCCUACUGCGAGGAGGAGGUCGUCGAGAAGCUCCUCGACGCGAUCUCUUGCCUGAAGGUGGCCUAUGUCAACCUUCAGAAGGCCCAUGUGCCGUAUGAUCCUGAAGAGAUCGUGAUCGCCGGCGAGCGUUUUGCGUCGGAGCUUGAAGAGACUGCCAACUUGCAGGAUUUGUAUCUGAAUAUGAACGAAUGGAGCGACCCGAGGUAUCUGUCUCAUAUAAGCUCUAGAAUUCAGGAGUAUCAGGACUUAGUGAUGGACCUGCAGGCUGACAUCUGCAAGAAAGACUCUGAAAUCGGUUGGCUUCGACCAGAGUUGGACGAGCUGGAAAGGAAGAACAUGGAACUGGAGGAGAAGAUUGUCCGUAACGGAUCGUCCAGAGAAGGAUGCUUCACAGUCAGGAAGGGGGUGUCAACUGAAGCGUUCAUGGAUCUACAUGAGCGUUCGUCAAAGUGCAUCCAUGAUUUUGCAAAAUUCAUCUUUGAUUGGACAAAAGUUUCCGGAUGGAACCUCGGCCUAUCCACAUUUGCAAUCGACAGUCAAGUUGCAUGUGAGAGAAGGGCUGACAAGAAGUAUGCUGUUGAGGCCUAUUUUGCUUGUGUGAUGCUUAUGGCAGACAGAGAUGACCAUACAUCCCUGGAUUCAGUUGACUGUAUCAUGAGCUUCAAAGAUCCAUUUGACGCUCUCAUGACUGAUCCAGAUUCCAGUUUCGGGAGAUAUUGCAGAGCAAAGUAUCUAGUGGCUGUGCCCCAGAGCAUGGAGGAUUCCUUCUUCGGGAACUUGGAUCACAGAGCAUUUGUAGAGAGCGGCGGUCAUCCAAGGACGCCAUUUUACCAGAAAUUUGUGAGGAUGGCAAGAUAUACAUGGGCACUACUCGCAGUUGCUCGUUCUCUGAAUCCCAGAGCUGAAAUGUUUUAUGUCAAGAGUGGUGUUCAGUUUCGGAAGGAACACAUGGAAAGUACUCCAGCCAAGAUUAUCAGAGAAGAGAAGUUCAAUGUUGGGUUUACAGUCAUGCCGGGGUUUAAGAUCGGGUGCACCGUCAUCAAAUGCAGGGUUUACUUGAGUAAGCUUAAUGCCAUGGACUUCUGA